UACAGAGGUCUCAAGCGUUGUUCGGAUUCAUUGGGCGUAAAGCGCGCGUAGGCGGCCAGAUAAGUCCGGUGUGAAAGUCACAGGCUCAACCUGUGAAUGCCGCUGGAAACUGUCUGGCUUGAGUCCGGAAGGGGCGAGUGGAAUUCCUGGUGUAGCGGUGAAAUGCGCAGAUAUCGGGAGGAACACCAGUAGCGAAGGCGGCACUCUGGGCCGGUACUGACGCUGAGGAGCGAAAAGCGUGGGGGAGCGAACAGG
rnacentral:rRNA from 1 species